GCUCCGAUGGCUUAGUGGUUAGAGCGUCCGCCUCAAAUGCGGGAGGUCGUGAGUUCAACUCCCGGUCGAGUCA